rnacentral:rRNA from 1 species
AUUGAACGCUGGCGGCAUGCCUUACACAUGCAAGUCGAACGGGAACGGGUCCUUCGGGAUGCCGACGAGUGGCGAACGGGUGAGUAAUAUAUCGGAACGUGCCCAGCAGUGGGGGAUAACUGCUCGAAAGAGCAGCUAAUACCGCCUACGACCUGAGGGUGAAAGGGGGGGAUCGCAAGACCUCUCGCUAUUGGAGCGGCCGACAUCAGACUAGGUAGUUGGUGGGGGAAAGGCCUACCAAGGCAACGAUCGGUAGUUGGGCUGAGAGGACGACCAGCCACAGGGGGGGUGAGAGACGGCCCAGGCUCGGAGGGGAGGCAGCGGUGGGGAAGUUUGGAAAAUGGGCGGAAGCCUGAUCCAGGGAUGGAGCGUGCAGGAAGCAGGCCUGCGGGUUGUAAACUGGUUUUGUGAGGGAAGAAAUCUUCUGGGCUAAUACCCGGGGAGGAUGACGGUACCGGAAGAAUAAGCACCGGUUAACUACGU